rnacentral:rRNA from 1 species
UAGGGAAUCUUCGGCAAUGGACGAAAGUCUGACCGAGCAACGCCGCGUGAGUGAAGAAGGUUUUCGGAUCGUAAAACUCUGUUGUUAGAGAAGAACAAGGACGUUAGUAACUGAACGUCCCCUGACGGUAUCUAACCAGAAAGCCACGGCUAACUACGUGCCAGCAGCCGCGGUAAUACGUAGGUGGCAAGCGUUGUCCGGAUUUAUUGGGCGUAAAGCGAGCGCAGGCGGUUUCUUAAGUCUGAUGUGAAAGCCCCCGGCUCAACCGGGGAGGGUCAUUGGAAACUGGGAGACUUGAGUGCAGAAGAGGAGAGUGGAAUUCCAUGUGUAGCGGUGAAAUGCGUAGAUAUAUGGAGGAACACCAGUGGCGAAGGCGGCUCUCUGGUCUGUAACUGACGCUGAGGCUCGAAAGCGUGCGGAGCAAACAGG